GUUAGGGUUUUAAAAGUUGAAAGUACUCCUUCCUUGCUCACAACAUAGUCGCAUAACCCCACCUCCCUUUAGCCCUCACUAUUACAAAACACAACCACACCACAAGCACUCAUAGCCGCGCACCACACCACAGCCGAGCACCACACCCUCACUCACGCGACCAACCAGCAGCCACCAUAGUCGUGCACCUCACCCAUACGCGUGCGCCACCUCUGCCAAGGGAAGGACUAGGUUGUGCAGCCCUACACACAACACCACCACCACGUACAACCAACGACAGCAGUGUCGCGCGCCACCAGCAACAGAGGUGUGCAUUCCCCUCUAUGCGCGACCACCACCACAGAGCCGCCAUUAGACCCACCACCUAUUCACCCUCCUCUUUCUUACUCCAUUUUUUGUGCUCAAUUCAUAAGAGGAAGAUAAAACCUCAUUUUUGGGUGAUUAUUAUGACUUUUGUCUUGCAGUAGCAGUUACAGGUACGUACACGCAGUAACUAACUUUUAUAUGCUUAUGUUCUUAAGUAUUAUAAAUAUUUGCGACUUUAUGCGUUGUGGUAGAACUAUGAAGUACUAGAGUAAGCCUUAUACAUGAAUACUAUUGGUUGUGUUCAUCUUGAACUUAGAAUGAUGUAGAUGCAUAGAACGAAGGUAUUAGUAGAAGUUGAGAACAUUUCCCUUAUUGAUAGAAUUACAUUACGUUUUCUUGGAGUCGGAAUGAUUCCUUUAUAGAUGAAUUUCAGAUUAUAUGCGAGUUACAGGUAGGUCUUGUAAACCCUAUGGUUCUCAUUCAUAGCAAGAGAUGGGUGAGUUACCGGUAGGUCUUGCAAACCCCAUGGUUCUUAUUGAUAGCAAGAGUAUGUGUGAGUUACCGGUGGGUCUUGCAAACCCCAAGGUCCUCAUGGAUAGAAAGUAAUAUUUGAUUUACCGGUGGAUCUUGGAAGCACCAAGGUUCUCAUUGAUAGAAAAUUUAUUCAUUGAUAGCAAGGUUAUCCAUUGAUAGAAAAUUAUUCAUUGAUAGUAAGUUUAUCCAUUGAUAGAAAAUCAUUCAUUGAUAGUAAGUUUAUCCGUUGAUAGAAAGUUUACACAUUGGUAGAAGGUGUACUCAUUGAUAGAAAAUUUAUUCAUUGAUAAAAUAGUUUAUGCAUGUGUUAGGUAGUCUGUUAAUGCCCUUGGUUGAGUUGAUACUACGCGUGUUUUAUAAGAGUUUAUGUUCUGAGAAGAGUGUGAAGACUUGUAUUCUACCUAGGAACACAGGUUCGAGUUGGAAAGGAAGAAAUAAGAUUAAGAAGUAUAAACGGACGAUAAAUGGUUACCAGUUGUGCUUUUAACUUACGAAGUCGUAUUUAUAUUGUUGUAUAACAUAAUGUUAUCUAGUAUGUAUGCCUUAUUAUGAUAUGAUGUGAGUUACUAACGUGUACAUGUUUGAUUUGUUUGAAAAUGGCUCUUUCUAUGAUGGCCCUGUGAUGAUACGUUUGAUAUUUCCGUCUCACGUUGAGCAGCAGGGAGAUUAAGAUAGACUUAACAGGUAUUGGAAUUUUUUUUGCCUUACAUUGGGGGAUAGUGAUGAGUGCAAAGCAUAAUUCGUGUUACGCUAUUGAUCUUUGAUUUUUGUACAUCUUAUAUGCCUUUUGUAAGCUUUGAUUUGUAUAGGUUGUGAUAUGAGGCCUGGUGUCCUCUGUAUUAUUCACAAUUUCCGCUGCAUAAUUUAUGGCUUUGUAUGUUUUAAAAUGUUUUAUUUGUUUUAAAACUCAAGCGUCAUUAC